CCCCUCCGCCUGUCCCAAUGCCAAGUUUGAGUGCGUCAACACUCCAGGCUCAGUCCGCUGUUCCUGUCGGUACAAGAACAUUAAGGAAUCGGACGGCUGCGGUGAUUCGGACAAUCCCCCAGGGUGGAACAUCUUUAACGUUUCUGUGGAGUGGAGCACUCAAGGAAGUGGAAUGAGCGAACUGCAGAAGCUACAGCAGAUCCUGUCCAUGGGCUUUCAGAACAAGUUCUACAACGCCAGUGUGACAUGGACAGGCCAGGGCGGACAGACAUCUAGUGAAUAUCGCAUCAACGUGUCCAGCGACACCCCGCACUGGUACGUGCAGGACUACCUCACCCGUGUCAGCCAGCAUUAUGGUAUCAAGUCCACCGAUG